rnacentral:rRNA from 1 species
GACGAACGCUGGCGGCGUGCCUAAUACAUGCAAGUAGGACGCAGUUGCGAACGGGUGAGUAACGCGUCGGUAACUACCUAUUAGAGGGGGAUAACUAUUGGAAACGAUAGCUAAUACCGCAUACUAGUAGAUGGACCUGCGUUGUAUUAGCUAGUAGGUAGGGUAAUGGCCUACCUAGGCAACGAUACAUAGCCGAAAUGCGGGGAGGAUCGGUGACACUGGGACGGAGACACGGCCCCGACUUCUACGGGAGGGCGCAGUAGGGAAUUUUCGGAAAUGGGGGGAAACCUGACCGGGGGACGCCGGGUGGGUGAAGGAGGUUGUCGGGAAGUAAAGGUGAGGUGUUAAGGAAGCGGUACGUAACCAGAAAGGGACGGCUAACUACGUGCCAGCAGCCGCGGUAAUUC